rnacentral:lncRNA from 1 species
UGUCGGCGCACAGCUGGCUUCCAGCCUGGCGGGCGUAGAACAGCGCCGUGCGGCCCUGGGCGUCACGGGCCGCCACGUGGAGUGGGGAGCGCAGCUGUGGGUCCUCUACGCUGGUGUCGAGCGGCCCGUGUCGCGCAUGGGCCAAAAGCAGGAGAACGGUAGCCACGUCCUGGGCCUGCACGGCGGCCCACAGCUGGCGGCCCAGCGGCUCCUCCGAGGUGCUCAGCGGCGCCAGGAACAGUAGCUGCUCGUACUUGGCGCGAAUCCACGACUCGCGCUCCUCCC